AUUGAACGCUGGCGGCAGGCCUAACACAUGCAAGUCGAACGAGUGGCGGACGGGUGAGUAAUGUCUGGGAAACUGCCCGAUGGAGGGGGAUAACUACUGGAAACGGUAGCUAAUACCGCAUACCAUCGGAUGUGCCCAGAUGGGAUUAGCUUGUAGGUGGGGUAACGGCUCACCUAGGCGACGAUCCCUAGCUGGUCUGAGAGGAUGACCAGCCACCAUGGAGCGUAGACACGGUCCAGACUCCUACGGGAGGCAGCAGUGGGGAAUGUUGCACAGUGGGCGCAAGCCUGAUGCAGGCAUGCCGCGUGUAUGAAGAAGGCCGUCGGGUUGUAAAGUACUUUCAGCGGGGAGGCGUUACCCGCAGAAGAAGCACCGGCUAACUCCGUGCCAGCAGCCGCGGUAAUUC
rnacentral:rRNA from 1 species